rnacentral:piRNA from 1 species
UUCAUGUGACUGGUGACUGGUGAGAUG